GAUGAACGCUGGCGGCGUGCCUAAUACAUGCAAGUCGAGCGAACAGACGAGGAGCUUGCUCCUUUGACGUUAGCGGCGGACGGGUGAGUAACACGUAGGUAACCUACCUAUAAGACUGGGAUAACUUCGGGAAACCGGAGCUAAUACCGGAUAAUAUUUCGAACCGCAUGGUUCGAUAGUGAAAGAUGGCUUUGCUAUCACUUAUAGAUGGACCUGCGCCGUAUUAGCUAGUUGGUAAGGUAACGGCUUACCAAGGCAACGAUAGGUAGCCGACCUGAGAGGGUGAUCGGCCACACUGGAACUGAGACACGGUCCAGACUCCUACGGGAGGCAGCAGUAGGGAAUCUUCCGCAAUGGGCGAAAGCCUGACGGAGCAACGCCGCGUGAGUGAUGAAGGUCUUCGGAUCGUAAAACUCUGUUAUUAGGGAAGAACAAACGUGUAAGUAACUGUGCACGUCUUGACGGUACCUAAUCAGAAAGCCACGGCUAACUACGUG
rnacentral:rRNA from 1 species